rnacentral:rRNA from 1 species
UACGUAGGGUGCGAGCGUUGUCCGGAAUUAUUGGGCGUAAAGGGCUCGUAGGCGGUCUGUCGCGUCGAAAGUGAAAACCCAGGGCUUAACCCUGGGCCUGCUUCCGAUACGGGCAGACUAGAGGUAUGCAGGGGAGAACGGAAUUCCUGGUGUAGCGGUGAAAUGCGCAGAUAUCAGGAGGAACACCGGUGGCGAAGGCGGUUCUCUGGGCAUUACCUGACGCUGAGGCGCGAAAGCGUGGGUAGCAAACAGG